rnacentral:rRNA from 1 species
GACGAACGCUGGCGGCGUGCCUAAUACAUGCAAGUCGAGCGGACGGAUGGGAGCUUGCUCCCAGACCGUCAGCGGCGGACGGGUGAGUAACACGUGGGCAACCUGCCUGUAAGACUGGGAUAACUCCGGGAAACCGGGGCUAAUACCGGAUAACUCUUUCCCUCACCUGAGGGAAAGCUGAAAGAUGGCAUCUCGCUAUCACUUACCGAUGGGCCCGCGGCGCAUUAGCUAGUUGGUGAGGUAACGGCUCACCAAGGCGACGAUGCGUAGCCGACCUGAGAGGGUGAUCGGCCACACUGGGACUGAGACACGGCCCAGACUCCUACGGGAGGCAGCAGUAGGGAAUCUUCCGCAAUGGACGAAAGUCUGACGGAGCAACGCCGCGUGAGUGAUGAAGGUUUUCGGAUCGUAAAACUCUGUUGUCAGGGAAGAACAAGUACCGGAGUAACUGCCGGUACCUUGACGGUACCUGACCAGAAAGCCACGGCUAACUACGUG